AGAAAAAUAAGCUAAAAUAAGCUAUUGAACUCAUAAUUCAAUUAUAAAUUAAUUUUUUUU
rnacentral:tRNA from 1 species